rnacentral:lncRNA from 1 species
ACUAGCAAACAACCUCAGCUUCAUAAAUCCAGCAGAAAGGUCCGGGGUAUUGUUGAAAAGGUCGGAAGGACCAAGAUUAUGUCCGCCAGCCUAAGUGGGACGAACAACCAAGUUGUGCGAUGCAGCUUUAAAGGGGCUGGUGAUUGACAGAAUGGUGUAGUAGUAGAUGGGGUGGAGCCGCUGGGUGGGGUCGAGACUGGCAGCUGAGAGAUACCAAAAGGAAGAAAAAAGAAAACCAUUGCUCUUGAUAUUGCUAAUGCCGGGGGAGGUAAGCUAACGAGAAAGUAGGGAAAAGGAAGGUUUUAGAGUUCACCUCCACUCCUUCCCCUGGCUAACACUCUUUACACUCUUCUGCCUUCCCUUGAGAUAAUUAAAAUAGACUGUACACCGGCCCUAGUCGGUGCCCAUUCCCCCUAACUCUUCACUCAACUACGUGUGUAGUCCGAGGGAGUGAGGACCCCGGGUCCAAGAGCUCAAUCCCGGCCCCGCCCCGUCGGCCCAGGCCCCGGGGCUGGGAGGAGAGGAUGCCUUCGGAGGCGCAGAAUCCGAAAAGAUGUGGUUGGAGCUGGAAGCUGUUAUCCUCAGCAAACUAAUGCAGGAGGAGAAAACCAAAUACUGCAAGUUCUCACUUAUAAGUGGGAACUGAAUGAUGAGAACAUUUGGACAUGAAGACCAAAUCUCCAGGAUUGUGAAUCAAUCAGAGAAUGUUUAGGGAUGUGGAUGAAGCUGGAAGCCAUCAUUCUCAACAAGCUAACACAAGAACAGAAAACCAAACACUGCAAGUUAUCACUCAUAAGUUGGAGGUGAACAGUGAGAACACAUGGAUACAGGGAGGUGAACAUCACACACUGGGGCCUGCCAUGGAGUGGGGGGCUGGGGGAGAUAGCAUUAGGAGAGAUACCUAAUGUAGAUGAUGGGUUGAUGGGUGCAGCAAACCACCAUGGCAUGUGUAUACCUAUGUAACAAACUUGCACGUUCUGCACAUGUAUCCCAGAACUUAAAGUAUAAU